UGCCUGUCUUCUUUGCUCCUUGACUAGUGUUCUUCCUACUCAGUUCAGUUACACAGAAAAAAAACUGACCAAAAUGUGCCAUUUUCUUGCUUAACCAAGGCUGCUUCAAACUUUACUAAUUCUGAGCUCGAAUUUACCUUUCCUAUGUUGCUCCCUUGUUCUUAAAUUACUGCAUACAUUUAACUUUUUCCAUAAGUUGUAGCCUUUUUAAAAGAAAAUGAUUUCUUUACUUUUUUUUAAACUGAUAGUAAAAUUUUAGAACUGUGCGUAUUAAUGGGGUAUAUAUUAUCCCCGUAAAAAUAGCUAAGGCUGUCCUGCCAUUUCGAAAACAUCAAUAACUGAGUUUCAAGAUUGGAAUCCCAAUCUUUUAUUCACUUUAUAGUUUUUGUAAUAGUGGCUUCUAUUAAAUUCUGGGUAGGGUGCUGGGGAGGAUAUUAAAAUAUUUUAAAAUAUACCAGGGUCCUAGGUAUUAAGUGAUGCUCAAAAUCAGUACUUUUAUCAGUCCACCUGAGAUCUGCAGCUCUAACAUCUCAUUUCGAGUAACACUGCAAAUGGGGAUAUUUUAGUUAGGCCUACACACGUACCCAAAAAAAAAAAAAAAAAAAAAAAAAGAUGAGAAAAAGGAGGAAGGGAAGGAGAGGGAGAAGGAGACGAAGAAGACAACGACGACAGUGACAACCAACAACCUUGUCCUAGAGGCUGCAAUGUAUCACAGUAUGCCACACAGUCUACCCUUUUGUCCACACAUCUUUACUUGCAAAUGCUCAUUGCAGUGAGUUACUGGUCUGUUUCAAGGCCUCUGACGUCUGUUACACUCUCUGCACUGGAUUCCCUACACUAUCUGUACUGGUUCCUCAUUGGGACUCCUAUCAGGUAUCCUGUUGUUGCCCUGUGUCAUGGAGAUCCUGCAACUUUGGACCUGCAAGACUGGCCCUUUCACAUGCCCCAGAAGAUCAUAGAUGGGAUAGACAUUAGGAUGGGUCAACUCAGGGUCUAGGCCUGGGACAUAGUUGAAUUAGUCAACCUGCCACCUUUGCUGGAGCCCCACCCCCCGGGUGAGCUCUCCAGCACUGCCCGGGCUACGUCACCCAAAGGCUGCAGCCAGCACGGGGUAGGGGCUACUCUCCUGGCGCCCUGUCCUCAAGCCUACUCACCUGCACCUUUGCCUGUGUUGUGCUGCCCAGGGAGGUGCAAGGCCCACUCUCCUGAGUGCUGCAACUAGGGGAUUGAGUCCAGCCCUCCCAUUCUCAUUACCUCAGCCCAGCUCUCCUGCACUGUGAGGGUCAAGGAGGCGGCAGGCACCUCUCUCUUGUUAACAGUACUCCUUGCCAGGUGAGGGCACGGUUAGGUCUCCUGUGCUCCUGCCCUUGGAGCUGUUUCACCACACUCCUGACUCCAGGCAAGGAUGUCUGUAAAAUAGCUUUAAAAUAGUUUGUUCGUCUUCCACUAGAAACUGUAAUUUGUAGAUCCAAGAGUAUUCCUUUGUGUGUUUGUGUUUUGUUCUGUUUUGUUUGAUAAAGCAACUGUGGAUCUUUGUCUGCGGCAGAAUAAUUUUUGAAAGUUAUUGCUUGGUUAGCAUAUAGAAAAAUAGGUUUCAAUGCAACAUUUCAUAAAUAUAUACCAUCAUACUUUUUAUUAUAUCCUGUUCUAAUUGGCUCCUUCAGUUUUCUCCUCCAUCUCGCUCCUUUAUAACUGACUAUGCUCAAACAGCCCCUCCUCUGGGUUCAAGACACUUAUAUUCCAUUACCCACUCUAGCCCCACCCCCAUCUUUUGACAUCUUUUUUUCAUUUUCCUUGGGGCUUUAAUAUAUCUGUUGCAGAAGUCUUUCCUUGGUUAGGAUUCUUUUCUUAUGUGUUUUGGAGGUUUGGUUUGGUUUGGGGGGGGAGGGGCAUGUCUUUUGUUUGUUUUGAAACACGGCCUCACCAUGUAGCUCUUGGUGUCCUAAAAUUCACUGUGUAGACCAGAUUGGCCUUGAAUUCACCGAGAUUCCCCUGACUGCCUCUGAAGUGCUAGGAUUAAGGGAGUGAACCAUCAUACCCCAUGUCAUAGGUGUUUUUAAGCAGCUCUAAAUGAGAUGCUUUUUUCCUGAUUUCUUUCUUCAUAAUUUUACUACUGACAUAAAGGAAAGCUACUCACUGACUUUGGUAUACUAGUGUUGUAUUCUGCUACUUUGCAGAGUCCACCCUCUUGUAAUAUUCCCUUUGGGAAUAUUGAUCAUUUUUACCAGUAAACUUUGAAAUGUUAGUUCAGCAUUUUACCUAGUUCAGUGGUUGAAGGAGCUGAGUGUUGGCUGUGUUAUUCUGCUGUAGCCCAUACUUCUGGUGGCUUAAGUGUCACUUCUGACUUUGUGUGAGCACCUUCUGACUAGGGAUCUCACUUUUGAGAACCGGCACCUCCAGUGUCACCACAAAACCACACCAUCCAAGUAAAGGAAACAAGGAAAGCCCAAUGGGAUUGCCGUUCUUGCAUAUAAAUCAGAAAAUUGGGAAACCACUAUCAGUUUUGCCAUUGAGUUACAGUUUAUUUAGGGUCAAAGUUGUAAAUAAAUCCAGUGGAGGAAUGGAGGAGCCAGAGGGGCAAGUGGGGGAGAAACAAGAUUAAAUAAACCAAAGAAAGUGUGGGAGUCAAAAGUGUAAUGAAGGGCAAGAGGGAAAAGCACGAAAUUAGAAAAAUAAAAUAAAGAAAUGCUCUAUGAUCGUGAGCAGACCCGUGAUCAAAAGGAGAUAAGUAGAUAAGUGAGAAAAAAUAAAUAGGAAAAAUUAAAUUCUGAUAGGUUUUUUUUAAGCCAGUGGGUCCAAAACACUACUAAGAGUGCAGUAGAAAGAAAAGCUAAAAGGGAGACCAGAAAAAGAAACUGUCCAGAAAAAACAUGGGUGACAAAGUUAGGUAGAUGU
rnacentral:lncRNA from 1 species